rnacentral:rRNA from 1 species
GAGGAAUGUAUAGCAAUAGCUACUUGCAUCAUCAUUUUCUCAUUUUCUUCUUCUUUUUCUCAUUAUCAGAGAAAAAUCAGAAGAAAAGUAGAGAAAAGUAAAGAUGAUGCAAGAUCGACUAUGUCGAAUAAAAUUCUAGGUAGAAUUAUGAUAAUGACAUUGUCUGCCUAUGUGUCUUGACCAAAUUACGUGCCAGCAGUCGCGGUAAUACGUAGAAGACUAGUGUUAUUCAUGUUUAAUCGGUUUAAAGGGUACCUAGACGGUAAAUCAAGCUUUCAAAGAAAAAUAUAAAGAGAAUUAAAGGACUAAUUUACUAGAGUUACUUAUGAGGGGGUAUUAAAGUACUGCUGGUGUAGAGAUGAAAUUCUGUCAUACCUCUUUUCAAAAGAAAAAUGAUGGCACAGGUAUAGGCGAAGGCAUCCCCUUAUGUGAUAACUGACGUUGAGGGACGAAGGCUUUGUGUAGCGAACAGGAUUAGAUACCCCAGUAGUCGAAGCAGAAAAUGAUGAAUGUCAUAGAUUAGAUAUAUAAGUUUAUUCUAUAAAUGAAAGUGUAAGCAUUCCACCUCAUGAGUAAUUUGGCAACAUUGGAACUGAAAUCAUUAGACCGUUUCUGAAACCAG